rnacentral:lncRNA from 1 species
GGAAUUCUCUGGGAGUUCCCACCCUAGACACCUGGGCUUCUCCCUCUUCUCCCCCCAGGGCUUCUGUUCACAUGAGGUCUCUUCUCAGCCCCCUGCCCUUCAGUUGGUACUAUACCAGUGUCCUCACAUUCUCAGGCCUCGACUGGGUUCUUUUUGGCUGCGGAAAUACCCUUGACAUUUUGGUUUUUUCACUUUAGAAAUUCCCAUAGGAAUCUAGAAAAGAAAAGCUGUCAAUUUCUCUAGGAAACAAGGAAAAGCUGAGAGAAGAGAACUACAAUGGAGCCUGUGGGGCGACGGUGCGCACCUUUGAUUCCAGUACUUGAGGGGCAGAGGCAGAUGGCUGGCUGCAAGUUCUAGGCUGGCCUGGUCAACACAGCAAAUUCCACAACAACCUGGGCUACAAGGUAAGACCUUACCAAAACCAAACCAAACCAAACAAGCCCCCAAAACCACCAACAAAAUCAACCACACACACAGUGAAGCCAUGAAUGAGCCUCGAGAAUCAGGCCAGAGAACCAGGCUGACAACGUCGACGCACGAUGACGGAUGACUGAGAAAGACAGAAGAAGCUACCGGACUCGGCUGAAAGGCGGGACUUCUCUCCCAAAAGCAGCCAAGUGGAUGCUGAGGCCAACAGAAUGAAGAUACUUUCUUUAACAAUAUAUUCAAUUCGUGGUUUAAAUUUCCAUCUUAAUAUCACCUUUGCAGUGUGCUAUGCACAAUACAUCUUCACCC